CCUACGGGUGGCAGCAGUGGGGAAUAUUGCACAAUGGGGGAAACCCUGAUGCAGCGACGCCGCGUGAGCGAUGAAGUAUUUCGGUACGUAAAGCUCUAUCAGCAGGGAAGAAAAUGACGGUACCUGACUAAGAAGCCCCUGCUAACUACGGGCCAGCAGCCGCGGUAAUACGUAGGGGGCAAGCGUUAGCCGGAUUUACUGGGCGUAAAGGGAGCGUAGACGGCGGUGCAAGCCAGAGGUGAAAGCCCGGGGCUCAACCUCGGGACUGCCUUUGGAACUGUCCUGCUAGAGUGUCGGAGAGGAAGGCGGAAUUCCUAGUGUAGGGGUGAAAUGCGUAGAUAUUAGGAGGAACACCAGUGGCGAAGGCGACUAGCUGGACGAUGACUGACGUUGAGGCGCGAAAGCGUGGGGAGCAAACAGGAUUAGAUACCCCUGUAGUC
rnacentral:rRNA from 1 species